rnacentral:rRNA from 1 species
UGAACGCUGGCGGCGUGCCUAAUACAUGCAAGUCGAGCGAACGGACGAGAAGCUUGCUUCUCUGAUGUUAGCGGCGGACGGGUGAGUAACACGUGGAUAACCUACCUAUAAGACUGGGAUAACUUCGGGAAACCGGAGCUAAUACCGGAUGAUAUUUUGAACCGCAUGGUUCAAAAGUGAAAGACGGUCUUGCUGUCACUUAUAGAUGGAUCCGCGCUGCAUUAGCUAGUUGGUAAGGUAACGGCUUACCAAGGCAACGAUGCAUAGCCGACCUGAGAGGGUGAUCGGCCACACUGGAACUGAGACGCGGUCCAGACUCCUACGGGAGGCAGCAGUAGGGAAUCUUCCGCAAUGGGCGAAAGCCUGACGGAGCAACGCCGCGUGGGUGAUGAAGGUCUGCGGAUCGUAAAACUCUGUUAUUAGGGAAGAACAUAUGUGUAAGUAACUGUGCACAUCUUGACGGUACCUAAUCAGAAAGCCACGGCUAACUACGUG